UACGGAGGGGGCUAGCGUUGUUCGGAAUCACUGGGCGGAAAGCGCACGUAGGCGGCUAUCCAAGUCAGUGGUGAAAGCCCGGAGCUCAACUCCGGAACUGCCAUUGAAACUGUUUAGCUUGAGGACGAGAGAGGUGAGUGGAAUUCCCAGUGUAGAGGUGAAAUUCGUAGAUAUUGGGAAGAACACCGGUGGCGAAGGCGGCUCACUGGCUCGUUUCUGACGCUCAGGCGCGAUAGCGUGGGGAUCAAACAGG
rnacentral:rRNA from 1 species